rnacentral:lncRNA from 1 species
GGAUGUGUUACCGGUGGCCUUGACUUUGCCCCUUUUCAGCCAGAUCUGGGUCCUUGCGGCAGCUUUGAUAUAAGGGGCUCUCCGGGCCAGACUGCGCCGGGAGGGCGACCCGGGGCAGGCUGUGUACCUCGUGGGUGGCCUCUUUGGGGGUGCUGAGGAGGGGCCGAGAAAUGGCAAGCAGCAGUGAGGUGGGAUGGCCCACUCUGCACCUCAGCUCCUGGGGUUUGACUCUGACCUUUGCCACUUUCCUGGCAGUGUGACCCUGGACAGAUGCUUAACUUCUCUGUGCCUGUCAGGUUUCCCAUCUGCAAAAUGAGGGUCAAAAUGGUACUGAGUUCACAGAGUGGUUGUGAGAGCUGACCGUCCGGCCAUAAGAAUCCCUUGGUACUUGUAUGUGUUACUAUGACUACUGUGUCGGUAUUAUUAUUCCUGGGUUCUAAGAUUGGGC